ACUCGUUUAGCUCAGUUGGCUAUACCGUGGUGCUUAUAAUGCCAUGGCUGCAGGUUCUAUCCCCGUAAGGGGCA